CUGUUUGUAGCCUUGUUAUGCUACGCUAAUGCCUCACUGCCUUGAGAAGUAUUGUUUUUCUGUGUGCAUACCAAGCCUUUUCAUGACCAUAGCCUUUUCUACUUGUUUACUUUGUAGACUGAUUAUACAGGUAGUCCUCUACUUAGGAGAGACGUUGCGACAACCCCAUUAUGAGUCUGGUUCUUCUUGAGGUUUCUGCCUCAUACCAUCUCAGAAAAACACUGACAGGAUAUUCUCAAUUGUUGCUCCCCAAUGAAACAUCAGCAGAGUGUAGGAGAAUUUAGAGAGUUGGAUGGAGCAGCGUGUUUCUCAAUCUUAAUUUUGAUAAUGAUGUGUUGCUGUGCAAUUGAACUUCCCUGACAAGAGAUGUUCAUCAUAAACUCUUGAACACAGUGUCUUUGUUUCUCACUGCAGUGCUGAUGUCCUUUGUGCAUUUUAAAAAUAAAAACCUUUUAUCUGGAUACAUGGAUAUGGUGACACAUUCCUCGUUAACAAUAGUUAAAGCUACAUAAAUAUCAGAGCUGAUUUUCCUGACUCUGAAGUGAGAGAUGGAUGUAGAGCUGAUGCCUGAGUUGGGAAUAAUUCAGCAGUGAGAUUGUGACAUGAACUGGAGUUUUAUUGGGAACAGUGAAUACAGCGUAGAAACCAUGGAAAAAUACAAAUAUCCAACAUACACAUUACAGGCCAAAAAAACCCCCAGAAAUAGUCUACUGAUCACAAACAUUUCGAAUCCAAAAUACUGAAUUCUUAUUAUGUUUAUCUGGAAGGUAAGAAACACACAUUUGUUUAUAAUGAUCACAUUCACAGGUUAUACAACUGACAUCGUGUGCUUUAUUAGAAUGUAGAAAAGAAUAUUUGACUAAUCGUAGUAGACAAUAAAGUAGGAAAUGAAAGUGUGUGUGUGAGAGAGAGAGAGACAGAGAGAGAGAAGAGGAUGAUGUGUACAUCAGGAGAUUAUAAUUUGUGGUAUAACUGUGCUAUAACCACAUGACCAUCUUAUGGCAGUACAUGUGAUUUAUCUGGAAUGUAGUGAAUCAAUCUGAUCAGAUUUUUCACCAACACACUACAUCUAAUCUCGACUCUGUCCCAAAUCCUACAGAGCACAGGCUCUGUUCUAAUAAGACUUCCUGUUUUUUUGAGUUCAUGUUUGUGUUACCCAGAACUGUACGUAAGAACAGAUCACACGCAGGAACGCAGUGACGCUGGAAUGGAUAUCAAGAGUCUGAAGUGAAAUUACGUUGGACAUCUCUCACUAACCACCAGGAUGUGCUUUAAUCUACUUUUCUGAUUUAAAGGACACUGACAGAAGGGAAGAAUUGUAAAACACUUUGGGAUCUGUUGGAAAUUUGAGCCCACAGAUAUACAAUGCAUUCUUUUUUGCAUAUUCAUUAUAUCUCAUAUGUUCCCUAAUUUAACCAAAUGCCCUAGUUCUUAAAUGUUCCCUAGUUUCCUGAAUUCUGAUUUCCUGUCUCGGUCUGUUCCUUUAGUGUCUUAAUUUUUGAGAUGUGCCCCAAUUAUUGAAAAAUAUUUACAAGA